GCGAUUUCAAGGGCCGACAGGAAGCCUCGAUCGGGGAACUCUGACCUUGCGGAGGAAACUUGUUUCCCUUUUUUUCUUCCCGCCGACUUUCACUCGAUAAAACCCUGCUUUAUUCACCCUUUAAACCUUCUCCAAACCUAAAUUUUCCUGGCCUUGGGACGGACAAGAACCCAGUCUUCAGAUGAAGGAAGGAAAAGUCCUGCAACAUUCUUGGCGUGCAACGUUGGGGCUCUUGAAGAGGUGUACUCUAACUUUCUCCACCCUUUGAGGCUGUCCUGCAUGGACAGCAUCAGUGCACUCUUUUGCACUCUUCUGCUGGCUUUGGUCAUUGGGAGCCAAUAAACAAUCUGAAGGCAGAAUGAGUAUAAGUUGGGAG
rnacentral:lncRNA from 10 species